GAACUGCUGAUGUGUCCCAAACAGGAGGAAACAGCUGUCCAGUGC
rfam:Echinostoma caproni strain Egypt genome assembly, scaffold: ECPE_scaffold0004847